rnacentral:rRNA from 1 species
UCCCAGCAGUUCAAGUCGCAUCCACUAUUAUUGGGUCUAAAACAUCCGUAGCUUGCAGUUUAAGUCUCUUGUGAAAUCCCACUUCUCAAGUGUGGGGCUUGCAGGAGAUACUGGAUUGCUAGAGAUCGGUAGACGUAAGGAGUACACUGGAGGUAGUGGUAAAAUACGUUAAUCUUCGGUGGACUAACAAUCAGCGAAGGCACCUUACGAGGACGAAUCUGACAGUGAGGGAUGAAGGCCAGGGGCGCAAAACGG